UUUCCGUAGGUGAACCUGCGGAAGGAUCAUUCAUAAUGAAGUGUUUUAUGGCACUUUUUAAAAAUCCAUAUCCACCUUGUGUGCAAUGUUAGAUCUCGUCAAUCUUGGCGAGAUUUUUAUACAUCAACUCAUUCUUUAACUAAUUUGUAUGAAAAAUAUUAUGAAUACUUAAUUCAAAAUACAACUUUCAACAACGGAUCUCUUGGCUCUC
rnacentral:misc_RNA from 1 species